CUGAUGGAGCACGCCGCGUGAGUGAAGAAGGGUUUCGGCUCGUAAAACUCUGUUGUUAAAGAAGAACAUAUCUGAGAGUAACUGUUCAGGUAUUGACGGUAUUUAACCAGAAAGCCACGGCUAACUACGUGCCAGCAGCCGCGGUAAUACGUAGGUGGCAAGCGUUGUCCGGAUUUAUUGGGCGUAAAGCGAGCGCAGGCGGUUUUUUAAGUCUGAUGUGAAAGCCUUCGGCUCAACCGAAGAAGUGCAUCGGAAACUGGGAAACUUGAGUGCAGAAGAGGACAGUGGAACUCCAUGUGUAGCGGUGAAAUC
rnacentral:rRNA from 1 species